rnacentral:rRNA from 1 species
GUGGGGAAUAUUGGACAAUGGGCGCAAGCCUGAUCCAGCCAUGCCGCGUGAGUGAUGAAGGCCUUAGGGUUGUAAAGCUCUUUCGCCGACGAAGAUAAUGACGGUAGUCGGAGAAGAAGCCCCGGCUAACUUCGUGCCAGCAGCCGCGGUAAUACGAAGGGGGCUAGCGUUGUUCGGAAUCACUGGGCGUAAAGCGCACGUAGGCGGACAUUUAAGUCAGGGGUGAAAGCCUGGAGCUCAACUCCAGAACUGCCCUUGAUACUGGGUGUCUCGAGUCCGGAAGAGGUAAGUGGAACUGCGAGUGUAGAGGUGAAAUUCGUAGAUAUUCGCAAGAACACCAGUGGCGAAGGCGGCUUACUGGUCCGGUACUGACGCUGAGGUGCGAAAGCGUGGGGAGCAAACAGGAUUAGAAACCCGGGUAGUCC